rnacentral:rRNA from 1 species
UUCAGUGAUUUGAUUGAUGGGGUGGACCAUCUGAUCGAGCAAGGGUGGGUCGACGCUGACCGCGUUGGCAUCACCGGGGGAUCUUAUGGGGGUUAUGCGACGGCUUGGGGCGCGACGUAUUACACCGAACGCUUUGCCGCCGCGGUGAUGAAUGUGGGUUUGUCCGACAAGAUUGCCAUGUUGGGGACCUCUGAUAUCGC